rnacentral:misc_RNA from 1 species
AAAAAAGAUGGCUGAAGAUAUGAAGAAUGAGAUUCAAGAUCUGUUAACUAAACCUAUUACUCCAAGUGAAGAACCUGCUAAAGAAUCAUCAGAAAAAGAAGAAGGACAAGGGGUAGUAGUUAUGAAUGAUCAACAAGAUGAAGCAAAAGAAGUAGAAGAUGAGAAGUUGGUGCAUGUAGUUGAAAAAGCAAAAUUUCCAACUCCUCCUGGCAAACGACCUGGUCCUACCAUUGGUUGAAAUAAUAAUAUAAUUAUAAAUACAACUUUCGGAAAUUUUAAUUGCCUCUCUUUUUAUCGUUAAGUAGUUGAAAUAAUAAGAUACUUAGUGAGUAUUGAAAUCGACUAGACAGAAAGUAAUAUUAUUGUUCAUUGCAUGUGUUUGUUGAUCUUAUUUUCACUUUUAAUAUACUUUAUCAAUAUGAUGUGGAAACAUACAUAUUAUGUAAUAACACAACUUGUGUGUUGGCG